UACGUAGGGACCGAGCGUUGUCCGGAAUCAUUGGGCGUAAAGCGCACGUAGGCGGCUCGUUAAGUCGGAUGUGAAAGCCCCGGGCUCAACCCGGGAAGUGCAUUCGAAACUGGCGAGCUUGAAUAUGGAAGAGGGUCGCGGAAUUCCCGGUGUAGAGGUGAAAUUCGUAGAUAUCGGGAGGAACACCAGUGGCGAAGGCGGCGACCUGGGCCAAUAUUGACGCUGAGGUGCGAAAGCGUGGGGAGCAAACAGGG
rnacentral:rRNA from 1 species